rnacentral:rRNA from 1 species
CCUACGGGUGGCUGCAGUGGGGAAUUUUGGACAAUGGGGGCAACCCUGAUCCAGCCAUGCCGCGUGCGGGAAGAAGGCCUUCGGGUUGUAAACCGCUUUUGUCAGGGAAGAAAUCUUCCGAGCUAAUACCUUGGGAGGAUGACGGUACCUGAAGAAUAAGCACCGGCUAACUACGUGCCAGCAGCCGCGGUAAUACGUAGGGUGCAAGCGUUAAUCGGAGCUACUGGGCGUAAAGCGUGCACAGGCGGUUGGAAUCCCCGGGCUUAGCCUGGGAACUGCACUUGUGACUGUACGGCUGGAGUCCGGCAGAGGGGGAUGGAAUUCCGCGUGUAGCAGUGAAAUGCGUAGAUAUGCGAAGGAACACCGAUGGCGAAGGCAGUCCCCUGGGCCUGUACUGACGCUCAUGCACGAAAGCGUGGGGAGCGAACAGGAUUAGAUACCCGGGUAGUC